rnacentral:rRNA from 1 species
AUUGAACGCUGGCGGCAUGCCUUACACAUGCAAGUCGAACGGUAACGGGUCCUUCGGGAUGCCGACGAGUGGCGAACGGGUGAGUAAUAUAUCGGAACGUGCCCAGUAGUGGGGGAUAACUGCUCGAAAGAGCAGCUAAUACCGCAUACGACCUGAGGGUGAAAGGGGGGGAUCGCAAGACCUCUCGCUAUUGGAGCGGCCGAUAUCAGAUUAGCUAGUUGGUGGGGUAAAGGCCUACCAAGGCAACGAUCUGUAGUUGGUCUGAGAGGACGACCAGCCACACUGGGACUGAGACAAGGCCGAGCCGUCUACGGGAGGCAGCAGUGGCGAAUUUUGGACAAUGGGCGCAAGCCUGAUCCAGCAAUGCCGCGUGCAGGAAGAAGGCCUUCGGGUUGUAAACUGCUUUUGUCAGGGAAGAAAUCUUCUGGGCUGGUUAAUACCCGGUUGGGACGACGGUACCCAAAGAAUAAGCACCGGCUAACUUCGUGCCAGCCGCCGCGGAAA